AUUGAACGCUGGCGGCAGGCUCAACACAUGCAAGUCGAGCGGGGUGAUGGUGCUUGCACUAUCACUUAGCGGCGGACGGGUGAGUAAUGCUUAGGAAUCUGCCUAUUAGUGGGGGACAACAUCUCGAAAGGGAUGCUAACACCGCAUACGUCCUACGGGAGAAAGCAGGGGAUCACUUGUGACCUUGCGCUAAUAGAUGAGCCUAAGUCGGAUUAGCUAGUUGGUGGGGUAAAGGCCUACCAAGGCGACGAUCUGUAGCGGGUCUGAGAGGAUGAUCCGCCACACUGGGACUGAGACACGGCCCAGGCUCCUACGGGAGGCAGCAGUGGGGAAUAUUGGACAAUGGGGGGAACCCUGAUCCAGCCAUGCCGCGUGUGUGAAGAAGGCCUUAUGGUUGUAAAGCACUUUAAGCGAGGAGGAGGCUCUUUUGGUUAAUACCCAAGAUGAGUGGACGUUACUCGCAGAAUAAGCACCGGCUAACUCUGUGCCAGCCGCCGCAGUAA
rnacentral:rRNA from 1 species